rnacentral:rRNA from 1 species
GCCGAAUAUAUAGUAAGGCCUGCCCAGUGAUUUGGUUUAAACGGCUGCGGUAUUUUGACCGUCCUAAGGUAGCAUAAUCAUUUGCCUUUUAAUUGUGGGCUGGGAUGAAAGGUUUAACAAAGAACAGUGUCUUUUUUUUAAAUUUGUAAUUUUUAGUGAGAGUUAAAAUACUUUCAGGUGGCUAAGGGACGAUAAGACCCUAAAAGCUUUAUUUUAGGAAAAGAGUUAAGAUUAUUAAUAGUAAGAGUUUAGCUGGGGUAGUUUUUUUAAAGGAUCUGAGAGUAGAGUAGACACUAAAAGUGUAAUUAGGUCCUUUAUAUAAGGAUAUGUUGAAGAAGUUACUUUAGGGAUAACAGCGUAAUAACUUCAGGGAGAUCUUAUCUAUGAGGUAGAUUGCGACCUCGAUGUUGAAUUAAGAGUUCGUUGUAGAGCAUAAACUACAAGAAGAGGGUUUGGUCAACCUUUAA